AUACGGAGGGUCCGAGCGUUAAUCGGGAUUACUGGGCGUAAAGCGCGCGUAGGCGGCUAUAUAAGUCAGAUGUGAAAUCCCUGGGCUCAACCUAGGAACUGCAUUUGAAACUGUAUGGCUAGAGUAUGGUAGAGGUGAGUGGAAUUUCAGGUGUAGCGGUGAAAUGCGUAGAGAUCUGAAGGAACAUCAGUGGCGAAGGCGACUCACUGGGCCAUUACUGACGCUGAGGUGCGAAAGCGUGGGUAGCAAACAGGAUUAGAAACCCUAGUAGUCC
rnacentral:rRNA from 1 species